UACGUAGGGUGCGAGCGUUAAUCGGAAUUACUGGGCGUAAAGCGUGCGCAGGCGGUUUUGUAAGACAGAGGUGAAAUCCCCGGGCUUAACCUGGGAACUGCCUUUGUGACUGCAAGGCUUGAGUGCGGCAGAGGGGGAUGGAAUUCCGCGUGUAGCAGUGAAAUGCGUGGAUAUGCGGAGGAACACCGAUGGCGAAGGCAAUCCCCUGGGCCUGCACUGACGCUCAUGCACGAAAGCGUGGGGAGCAAACAGG
rnacentral:rRNA from 1 species